GAGAGAUACCUUUCUUUAGAAUAUUUACCAGACUUUCACUCCUAUUGAUUCAUUUUGCAUCAAGAAUUAUAUGUCUGUGAGAGAGCACAUGGAGAAUUUAUUAUAUGAACAUGGGCUUUUUUAUUGUUCAAAGCUUCCUCUAGAAAAGAGGGCCAUUAACCUUGACUGCUCCUCCUUUUAUAAAUAUCCUGUUUAUAAAUAUAAAUAGUCUGUUCACCAAAAUUGCAUUGCUUCCUGGAAGCUUGGUGAGGCAUUGAACCCUAAAACAGUUUAACACGAUCAAAACAUGGCAAGAAGCAGAAACUUGGAGGAUUUUAGUCAUGUCUGAUUGUCACUUGUAACGCCACAGUCAUUGCUUUUGGCCGGGCUGGCAACACCUUGGAAGAUGCCGAGGCAAUUUCUGGCAGAGGAGUGCUGCUGAGGAUCAGCCUGUCUGUUGGGUUCAAUUUCAAUAGGUCAGCAGAACAGAUAAUUUGGUUUUUUUUCUUUUCCUUCAACUUGAGUUUCCUACAGGCGUUUCAGCUUGAACGUGUAAUGGGGUGUACUGUUGGAAAAUGUGGUGCAUGGCAGUUUUGGGCUUUUCCCUGAUGUGAUGCCACUGGAAAUCCUGCCUACCACCUUGUUCCAGCUACCAAAGCAUCACCAGGGCUCAGAGCGCUGUCACCAGUUGUGGUCCAUCUGUGGGAAACAUGGGAAGGAGUGAGAGAAUGGAGCAUGAGGUCCUGUCUGGGGAUAUAAUGGCUGGAGCACUUGCUGCUGCCCCUGGCACUUCCUUGGCAUCUACCUGGGGAGCUGAGAGAAGAGGAUUGAUUCAGCUAUGGCCACAUCUCUUUAGAGAGGGAAAACCAGGCUGGGAAAUGGGGUUUGAAAGGAGACCAGGGCUGGCAGAGGGAGCUGUGCCUCUGGAGCUGAGAAGCUUGAGCCACCACUCCCAGCAGCUCAUGUGGGCAUCGCCUCCAGUGCCCAGCCUUGCCAGCCUUGAAGUCCCUUUUUGUCCCUGCUCUGCAAUUAGUGCUCAGCAUUGGCGCUGCUUUGGGUCCUGCUCUCCUGUCACAACAGCUGCUAUUGUGAAGGGACAUGAGGAAGAAAGAGGCUUGGGUUUGAUGAUCAGUGAGAAAAUGCCAUAACAACCACAGAUUUUUUCGACUCAGAGACAAUGAUAAACUUUAUUCCCAGGUUCUUUUCUGAAUAGAGUCAGGGAAGUGUUGGUACAUUUAUACCGGCAUUCUUCAGUGAAUUAUUUUUAUAGGUUUGGUUACCUGUGGUCCAGAAGGAUUAACUAAUUACAUGGUUACAGUAAGAAGAAUGUCACAUCUUCCUUUGCAAGAACCAUGAAAAGAAGCUGGCUUCUGAAACUGGAGACAUUAAUGAUGUCUCCUUAUAAAUAUGUUUUUGGGAACAGGGAGAGAGGGAAAAAUCACAGAGGGAAAAGGAGCAUUUGAGUUAAGUGACACUACUGGCUCCAACCCAUCUGGCUAGAAAUUGGUCAUGAGGGAGUUCAGGCUUGAAAUUAAUAAAAUCAUUCAAAGAUUAAA